UAGUAAGAGUGAUACAAUUCUGGAGCAUUGUUUAAUCGGAGAUAUAGAAAGUCCCUUUUUUUAAUGGAAGUGGUAUUCGUAUCCGAGGUAUAGUCAUUCGGCGGGUUGAGAUUCGCUCAACUCACUUCUCUUGUUUCAGUAGGCAGAGCAACCUGUUUGUUAUUUUAAAACUCUACCAAACACUCACCUUCUAAGCAAAGGCUAAUGACAUUUUAGCACCAUGUUGGUGAGCUCAUCCGUUUGGUCGACAAUCUUCUUAAUCCUAAGCACAUUGUUAACCCUCGGCAGCAGCCAGAGAUGUGGGGGUUCCAUAGAAGCCGGAGCUGGUGUGAUACGCUCU